AUAUGAUCCGAAAUUUCGAAAACAAGUUGAACAAAACGUUCCUGGGGCAGAAUACGUUCUCAAAGUAGCUUUAGAUUCCCAAGACCCAAUUGCAGACAUCAACAAACAAUUUGAUGGAGUGAGAAAACAAUUCGAUAAUGUCUCCAAAACGGUGGAAAGUGCCACAUCUACUGUGACUGGCUGGUUCGGCGGAGCAGAAAAACCAUCUACAAAGCAAUCUGAUGUCCAGCCGAAAACAUCUUCAUCGCCAAAGCCUGUUCCUGCUAGUUCUGUUAAAGAAGCGCCUCCUGCGUCCAAGCCUGCUACUGCCAAACCAAG